CCCGUAACGAGCGCAACCCUUGUCCUUAGUUACCAGCACGUAAUGGUGGGCACUCUAAGGAGACUGCCGGUGACAAACCGGAGGAAGGUGGGGAUGACGUCAAGUCAUCAUGGCCCUUACGGCGUGGGCUACACACGUGCUACAAUGGUCGGUACAGAGGGUUGCCAAGCCGCGAGGUGGAGCUAAUCCCACAAAACCGAUCGUAGUCCGGAUCGCAGUCUGCAACUCGACUGCGUGAAGUCGGAAUCGCUAGUAAUCGCGAAUCAGAAUGGCGCGGGGAAUACGUU
rnacentral:rRNA from 1 species